CCUACGGGUGGCAGCAGUGGGGAAUAUUGGACAAUGGGGGGAACCCUGAUCCAGCGACGCCGCGUGAGUGAAGAAGUAUUUCGGUAUGUAAAGCUCUAUCAGCAGGGAAGAAAGAAAUGACGGUACCUGACUAAGAAGCCCCGGCUAACUACGUGCCAGCAGCCGCGGUAAUACGUAUGGAGCAAGAGUUAUCCGGAUUUACUGGGUGUAAAGGGAGAGUAGGGGGCAGAGCAAGUCCGAAGUGAAAACCCAAAGAUCAACUAUGGGAAUGCGUUAGAAACUGCUCAGCUAGAGUGCAGGAGAGGAAAGUGGAAUUCUUAGUGUAGCGGUGAAAUGCGUAGAUAUUAGGAGGAACACCAGUGGCGAAGGCGGCUUGCUGGACUGUAACUGACGCUGAGGCUCGAAAGCGUGGGGAGCAAACAGGAUUAGAUACCCUAGUAGUC
rnacentral:rRNA from 1 species